rnacentral:ncRNA from 1 species
AAUAGGCUUGGUCCUGGCCUUUCUAUUGACUCUUAGCAAGAUUACACAUGCAAGCAUCCCCCAUUCCGGUGAAGACGCCCUUCCCAUCAACAUGACCAGAAGGAGCAAGUAUCAAGCACGCCCAUGCAGCUCAAAACACUUUGCCCAGCCACACCCCCACGGGAGACAGCAGUGACAAACCUUUAGCAAUGAACGAAAGUUUAACUAAGCUAUGCUAUGCCAGGGUUGGUCAACUUCGUGCCAGCCACCGCGGUUAUACGAUUAACCCUAGCCAAUGGAAACCGGCGUAGAGGGUGUUUUAGAUCUAGUCCAAUAAAAGCUAAACCCCAUCUAAACUGUAAAACCCUAGCUAACGUAAAAAUAAACUACGAAGGUGGCUUUAUAAUUCCUGAACACACAAUAGCCAAGACCCAAACUGGGAUUAGACACCCCACUAUGCUUGGCCCUAAACCUCAAUAGUUAAAAUAACAAAAACUAUUCGCCAGAAUACUACAAGCAACAGCUUAAAAACUCAAAGGACUUGGCGGUGCUUCAUACCCCCUAGAGGAGCCUGUUCUGUAAUCGAUAAACCCCCGAUCCACCCCCACCCCUCUCUUGCUUAGUCUAUAUACCGCCAUCUUCAGCAAACCCUGAUGAAGGCUACGAAGUGAGCGCAAAUGCCCCUCCCCCCGCAAAAACGUUAGGUCAAGGUGUAACUUAUGAGACGGUAAAAAAUGGGCUACAUUUUUCUACUUCAGAAAACCCCACGAUAGCUCUUAUGAAAUCUAGGAGCCCAAGGAGGAUUUAGCAGUAAAUUAAGAAUAGAGUGCUUAAUUGAACUAGGCCAUAAAGCACGCACACACCGCCCGUCACUCCCCUCAAAUAUAUUUAAGGAAUAACUUAACUAAAUGCCCUAACAUUUAUAUAGAGGGGAUAAGUCGUAACACGGUAAGUGUACUGGAAGGUGC